CCUGCUGGGAGCGACAGAACCCAAACUACGGGAGCAACGGCGGGCGCCAGGGAACCACACCUCGGAACGGUCCCAGGGGAGACCAGGAGGGCGGCUGGAGAGAGCCCAGGAAGCGGUCUGGGCCGCGGGCAAAAAACACACCACGACCAUCAUAAGCUUCGAGGUCAGUGGCCCCGGGAGCUGAAGAGGGGCCGCGGGGUGGGUGAACCGAGACCGAGAGGACAGAGAGUCGCAGACGCGACCCCGGGAGACGGAGAACAACGGGCAGCCUGGGCCCAUCUGCGGCGAAGGGGCCGGGCCCGGCAGGUACCUUGGCCGGCGGAGUCCAUGUUCGGGCGGCGUCCGGACCGCUGUCGCGGGCGCUAUGGGAGCCGAGCGGGCGGCGCCGGGAGAAGCUCGCCGCGUACACACUAGCCAGCGGAACUGCCUCAGCUCCGCGGCGUUUCGUAAUCCGCGAUGCGACGGCUACUUCCGCCCGGGCACGUGCUCCGCCUUCUUCCCGCCCCCACCAGUGAUAUCCAAUGAGAGUGCCGCUUGGCCCGUCCUGGUUUACCCGACUCAACCUGAUAGGCCGAAACUGCGGGCGAACCAGGAAAGGGAGGCGUGGUUCGGCGGGAAUCCAUUCCAGGUUGACUCCACCAGCGAGAAUCACAGGUAGAACGGUCAGAGUAGCGGGAGGACUGGGAAGGUGGGAAGUGGGAGGACCGUCCAACAUGGCGCUGUGGAAAGCCAGCGCAGGGCCCCAGGGGAUCUUCCGGGGCGGAUGCAGCUGCCUAGGAGUGCUGGGGCUCGCGCGCCUCGGCGGCUCAAACUCUGACCCCUUGAGAUCCUUUCCAGCCCGACCCCUUACUUUAGGGGUCAGCCUGCCCCCGGCGACCAGCGCUGCGCCCUCCCCACUCCACAGAUGAGGAAGCUGAGGUUAAAGUCACUUGCCCCAGGUCACUCCGCAAGUUGAAGCGCAACCAGGAUACUCUGGAACAGGAUGCCUGACUUCAGAGGAGAGGCGCGUAACCACCAGGCAACUGGCCCCACGAAAACAAGUCCCGCAACUUCCCUUCUUUGGCUCCUACUUGCUCCCGGAAGAAAAGCCUUAAACGGUAUUCAAGCCCUUUAGGAUCUGAUGUCCUAGGACUCCACUCUGGGCUUCCAGCCUGGGGUGGUACUGGUCCCUAGGCAUGGAAGCUCCUCCCACUGCCCCUUCCUUCACCCGGCCACCUCCUCCCACAGGUGUCUUCCUGGUACUCUUGCACAGGCCCGAGUCCCUUACCACCACGGCCUUAGCCUGCUCUCGUGCUCUCAGUAAUGUUUUCUCCAUUUGCUGCCUUUCAUUCUUUCCAGAGAUUCUUGCUCAACCCAACCAGGCCAGCCCGGGGACUAGGGACAUGUAGGGACAAUAGUCCCUGCUUCAGGCAGUUCAGGGCAGACCACAGAGAUGUGACAUUACAGACCAUUGUGAGCAGAGGCCUUGUCCCAUUCUGUGUUGCAUCCCUAAGCCAGGAACAAAGUCCAGCCCAGGCCUGGCUCCAGGGGACACGCAGUAGUAUCCUCUGGCCUGUGCAAGUGUAUCUGUAGCCUCACAUGCCACCAUGUGAGUCUGCAAUCUGUCUGUGAAUGCCCUGGUGUAGAAGCCAGGAGUUUGGAGGUGGGAGGGAGCCCUACAGAAUGAUAGCCAGUGCUAACUCCUGGGAAUGUCCAGCCACUAAGACCUGCCCACAGCCCUGCCAUGCCAAUGUCCUCCUUUUCACGGGAGCAGCUUGCACAGACUUUCAGCGCACAGCUGGCAUUGUCUUCCCAGGAGCCAUCCUGUAACCCAGGCCAGGUGAAGGGCUCCUCCCUGGGACCCCACAGCCCCGUUCCCAUCAUCCUUUUGUGGUGAUCAAGGCACCCAUCACACAGUAUUGCCAUAAACCGGGUCAGGUUAACCUUUCAUUCCCUUAGGAGCUGGGUGGGGGCAGCCAAAAGUAUUUGUAGGAGGAAGAGAGAAAGGAGGGGACAGAGCUAGGAAGAAUGGGAGGACGGUCAGAACGCCCCUGUGAAGGAAGGAGAGCACCAAGUCCCCGUGUUCUGCCUACCCUCCCCCAGACAGCAGAUCAGGAGCACCCCGCGCGCCCCCCCCCGCCCCGCCCCGCGUCGGCGCCGGCCCCCUGCAAUGGUUGGCGGUAUGGGGAGGUGAACCAAGAAGGCCAGGAGUUCAAGUGCGUGAUCCCCCACUGGGGCAUAUAGGUUACAGCCGCCAGGGCAACUGAAACUCCUCAGGCUCCAGAGGGCUGAAGUGAGUCGCCUC
rnacentral:lncRNA from 1 species